UGGCAGCGGAGAGAAUCAUAUGGAUUAUACCAUUAGUAAGAAUAUCUGCGAAGAAUUCAAAGUAAAAAAUGUUCAGUGCCAGCUGAAACAGCUUUUGUGAUUGAGUACUUCAAGGUGAUGAAGCCACUGGUGAUGGCUCUAAACAUUCUUCAGAGUGAGACCAACACACACGAGGUGGCUCCUACCAGUGAUCUUCAAGCUACAGAGAAAACACAGCAGCCUGGAGAUGUCCUCUGUGACAUGUCAGCUCUUCAUCAAAACAAUCCAGGCUGGUGUUCAAAGGUGCUUUAGUGUCAGGAAGACCCAGAACUCGCUGCAGCAAUACUUCUGCAUUCAGGAGCACCUGUACUGAUAGAGCUGUUGUCAAAGAAAUGAUUUUAUUUUUAUUGUUAGUCUGUAAACAGUGGUUUCUGCUCAGCAGUAGUUUUAAUGCAAUUUCUACAUUAUGACAAAUUAUUUUUGA